rnacentral:rRNA from 1 species
AUGCUUGCACGUCGACAUCUAUCACACCCUCCGGCUUGUCCCUUCUGUGUUCGAGCUCCAGAGAGAAUCAACCACAUCUUACUUGGGUGCGUAUUUGCUAUACAAGUGUGGCUCUCCAUCCUCAACCACUGGGAUAAACUAACUUGGCUACCUAGCGCGGAUGCUAAUCUGAUGGACUGGUGGACCUCAUUAAAUCCACAACCAAAGCAUAGGAAGGACACAUGGAUAGUAAUUGUGCUAGUAGCAUGGAUGUUAUGGAAGCACAUGAAUGAUGUGGUGUUCAAUGGAACGGCUCCUUCCACAAGUGAGAUUCUCAAGAAGGUCGAUCUACAAGGACAAGACUAG